rnacentral:lncRNA from 1 species
UCAUAGCAACUUAAUCACAAGCAAUAAGUGUUUGAUGUACAACUAUUACACGUUUAGUGAUGCUUAAAUAAAUAUGCAUGAACCACAGAAUAAACAAGCAAACACAUAAUAAUUAAUUUCAUAUUAAAUGGGGGACCAAAGACAUACAAACAGUGCGCACAACGUCAUCAAACAACAUAAAGAACGGGACCACAACAAAGGAAACAAAACACAGUAGGGGACCACAACACAACACACUGAGGGGACAACAAGGCAACAUACUUCAAUGGGGGACCCCAACAACGUAAAAUAACUCAUAAAAAACGCACCUUUCACCUUUUCGCUUCGAAGGAAGACGACGCUGACGAACCGUAUAUGCUUCCCCACCACAAUCACUGACAAACCCUACUCCUUCACCAAGUGUUUUCGAUCAUAAAUCUCCUUCGAAGAAACCAAGCAAUUGACCUCGAAACCUACCCUAUCUCACAAAACGAACAAAACCAAGCCAUUGAACCCUCGAAAAAAACAUUCUCCAAUUUAACUAUGCCCUAUUUUUUUCCCAAUUUAAUUUACCCCAUUUAAAAAACCCUAAUCAUUUUAUUUUACCAAUUACACGUACUAUAUUCUCUGCCUGCCACAUCAACUCAUUUUAGGCGAACUAAAUGACACGUCAACGUUUCUUGGACACCUCACAUGCACAUUGACUUCAACGUUAACUUUUUUUUAACUUCGUUA